CAUGUUGUUCUGUCAAGAGUAACCUACCCAUCCAUGCGGGCGGAGUAAUCUGCUGGUCUGGAAGAAUGUACCCCACCGAAAGGAGAAGUCAAACCGUGAAUGGCGACAAAGCGACCAGCAUCAGGUGGCUUGGGGG
rfam:Caedibacter sp. 38-128 SCNpilot_expt_500_p_scaffold_2399, whole genome shotgun sequence.